UGCGGUUGCCAGAAGGAAUAGCAAAACAGCUUCAAGCAAGAUUUAUAUCUUAGGGUAAUGGCAGCCAAAUCUGCUGUUCCCAUAUGCUUCAAGAGGUUCACCUUUGUUCCUGUACCAGAAGAAAGCAAAGGAGAUGUGCAGUACCAGCAAAUCUUCUGCAAGAGGACCAAACAGUUGGUGUUUAAGAAACCCUACACCACUUUCUGCAGAGUCUUAUCCAGCUGACCAUUCACCGCAGAGAGGACAAGCCUGUCGCCAUGAGCACAAAGUCUCAGCUUCUCCAGCCCACCAUGCCAAACCCCAUUGCCAGUGUACCAAAGCCGGAUAAAGGAC